GCACACGAUCCACUCCGAGCCGAAGCGCCUACGUCGCGACCCCGUCGCGAUAGGGCACCAGGCCGACAGGGUGGGGCUGGAAACGGCCUCGCCUCCCAAGUUGGAAAGGAGUGUCCGAUGGCCGUGG
rnacentral:ncRNA from 2 species